GAGACUCUGUGCGCGUGCAUAUCAAUAAGCGGAGGAAAAGAAACUAACAAGGAUUCCCUUAGUAACGGCGAGUGAAGCGGGAGGAGCUCAAAUUUGAAAUCUUCAAGGUUCUACCUUGACGAAUUGUAGUUUAUAGAAGUGUUUUCUGUUAGUGGAGUGGCAAAAGUUCUUUGGAAUAGGACAUCAUAGAGGGUGAGAAUCCCGUAUUUGGUCAUUCUUUCUAGCUUUGUGAUACACUUUCAACGAGUCGGAUUGUUUGGGAAUGCAGUCCAAAAUGGGUGGUAAAUUUCAUCUAAAGCUAAAUAUUGGCGAGAGACCGAUAGCGAACAAGUACCGUGAGGGAAAGAUGAAAAGAACUUUGAAAAGAGAGUUAAACAGUACGUGAAAUUGUCAAAAGGGAAGCGUUUGACACCAGUGUUGUUUAGUUGAAAAUCAAUUCAAUAAUUUUUGAUUUUGAGUAGUAUUGACUUCAUCAGCUUGCUGCUUUCUUUUCGGAAAUUAUUGAAUGCACUUUUCAGUUAACAAGUCAACAUCAAUUUCUUUUGUUGUAAAAGGGUAAGAGGAAGGUGGCUUACGCUUCGGCGUAAGUGUUUAUAGCCUUUUACCUCUGCAAUCGGAGAGAUUGAGGACAGCAGCGUAGACUCCUUCGGGGGUUAGAUACACUUGUGCUAAGCUAUAGCCUUGUAUAGACAACUUGUUGACUAUGCUCAGUCAUGUAGCUUACUCGCUUGUGCUAUUUUACCUACGCUUAGGAUGUUGAACUCUAUCACACACAG
rnacentral:rRNA from 1 species